UACAGAGGUCUCAAGCGUUGUUCGGAUUCAUUGGGCGUAAAGGGUGCGUAGGUGGUGGGGUAAGUCGGAUGUGAAAUCCCGGGGCUCAACCCCGGAACUGCAUUCGAUACUGCCUUGCUCGAGUACUGGAGAGGAGACUGGAAUUUACGGUGUAGCAGUGAAAUGCGUAGAUAUCAGGAGGAACACCGGUGGCGAAGGCGCCACUCUGGGCCGAAACUGACGCUGAGGAGCGAAAGCGUGGGUAGCAAACAGG
rnacentral:rRNA from 1 species